UGGUGGAGUGAUUUGUCUGGUUAAUUCCGUUAACGAACGAGACCUCAGCCUACUAUUGUAGUUUCUGCAAUUUCCGAAUUGUACUUGAAACUUCUUAGAGGGACUAUGUGUUUUUCGCACAUGGAAGUUGGAGGCAAUAACA
rnacentral:rRNA from 1 species